GAACAUUUAGCAACAGUCUGAAUAAGUGCUCCUGAUUUAUUUGGAAUCAAUGAGAAUGUUUCCUAAAUCAGUUUCUAUUUAGACUCUGUACACUGUAAAAUGUAAUAGUAUAUCUUACUCUAAAAGAAAAGUGACCUUAACUCAUUCCAGGUUACUCUGUUGAUGUGUGUUUGAUAUGAUUUUUCAGAGUACAGUUAUUACUGCGAAGCGAACGGCAGUUCUUCAUGGCCUUCCUGUGAUCCUUGGAGAUGAAAACACAGACUUCUUCAAGACAAGCUUUGACUGCGAAGACCCAGACGUGUCUCACAACCCCAUUGGGAUUCUGACCAUCAUUCCUGAGGACAGGCAGGCCUCCCCUGACUCACUGCACCUCAGGUACUGCCAUCAUUUUGGAAGGAAGUCUUCUCAUGAAUGACCUUGGAAAUCUUCCACAUGCCACGUGCUUGCUCUUUGGACUUAUUUAUGCUCUGAAUUUGGAGUACCCUCAACAACUGAAGUACACCUUUGACUUCAUCCAAAAGGUGCUUCUCUCACUUGGACAUAAAUCCCUAAAACCAAAAAUACAAUCACUCAAAAAUCUUCUGAUGUAAUGAGUGAAUGUGAAGUGACAUUAUGGAUCAAUGUUGAUACCUUUACCCUUAUUGGAAAAGUGAUUUUUAUUUCUUGUUUGAUUCUUUUUUGUUGGAAGGAGCAUCACUGCACUUGCAGACUACUAAAUGGUUUUAUGUUAAUGAGGAGAAACAUUACUUCACUUCACUACUUCACUAUUCACUUUAUUGAUGUUAUGAUAAAUGUUAGCUCUAUUAUUGAGAAUUGAGUUUUUGUUUCACACCAGUCAACAAAGACAUUUAAGCAGGGAUUCUCAAAGUUUUAAAGACUGAGGGCCACUUGAAGGAUUCAAUAUUAGAUUGAAGGCUGCCCUAGAAAAAAAGUCAUGUCAUUUUUUUUUUUUUUUCUAAAAACGCCUAUGGAAAACUUUGUUUCCAGGUUAGUGUGUAUGUAACCACACUUGAGAACCCUGUAUUUAAGGUAAACCUGUUUAAUUAUUAAACAUUUUUGUCCAUUCAAACUGUUGUCUGUUGGCUCUUCGUUUCAAUAACUUAACACUUUUGGUUCAUCUUACUUGAACAUAUCAAGGCAAUUGGUUUCCUGAUAUUUUGCAAGUAAUGUGAACGCUUAAACGUGUAAGCAUAACUUAUUUUUAUGAGUACUGCUUAAUUGACAUAACUCACAAAUUGAAGUAGUCAUAAUUGACAUUUUAUAGUCAACCUUACUAAUGAUUUUGAGUUACCUAUACUCAAGUUUACUGCCAUUGCAUGAGUUGUCUGAAUGAAUAUUUUACAGUUAACCCAAUUAAUGAUUUUGAGUUAACAGCACUCAGGUUUACUGCCAUUAUCUGAGUGGUCUAAACAUAGUUAUUUAUAGCUAUAACACCUUAAAAUGAAUUAGCUACUUUACUUGGAGAUUUUGAGGCAAUCGGUUUCCUAACUUUUUUUAAGUAAAGUGAACUUAUUACAUUUUACAGUGUACAACUGGCAUAUACAAGGGAUGAAAAACCUCUUUGAAGAUUCACUGAUGACACUGAAAACUGUCAGGAUAAAACAAACAAAUCACAAGAUCAUCAACAUUAAAGCUGAGGAUUUUGAAAGUUAUUCAAAAUCAAAUUUUUAUGCUGAAAUUUUUUACAGGUGGUGCAGACUUUUCAUAGUAGUGAUUCAGGUGGUUUCAGAAAGUUAUAAGAUACUUUCAAAAAACAUU